rnacentral:rRNA from 1 species
GAUGAACGCUAGCGACAGGCCUAACACAUGCAAGUCGAGGGGCAGCACAUGAGUAGCAAUACGAUGGUGGCGACCGGCGCACGGGUGAGUAUCGCGUAUGCAACCUACCUUCCACAGGGGGAUAGCCUUCCGAGAGGGAGAUUAAUACCGCAUAAAACAGGGGCCCCGCAUGGGGAUAUUUGUUAAAGAUUUAUCGGUGGGAGAUGGGCAUGCGUUCCAUUAGCUAGUUGGCGGGGUAAUGGCCCACCAAGGCAUCGAUGGAUAGGGGAACUGAGAGGUUUAUCCCCCGCACUGGAACUGAGACACGGUCCAGACUCCUACGGGAGGCAGCAGUGAGGAAUAUUGGUCAAUGGGCGGGAGCCUGAACCAGCCAAGUCGCGUGAAGGAAGACGGUUCUAUGGAUUGUAAACUUCUUUUGCACUGGGGUAAAACGGGGGACGUGUCCCCCCUUGCAAGUACGGUGCGAAUAAGCAUCGGCUAACUCCGUGCCAGCCGCCGCCGUAA